rnacentral:lncRNA from 1 species
GCCUGAGCAGGUUCUCGGGGCCUGAGCGGGAUGUGCAGGGAGCAGAGACGCAGGGAGGAGGAGACGCUGGCUGGAGCCAGAGCUGGGAGCACCUGCCAGAGCCCAUCCAGUCCCCGGCCCUGCUGGCCAGUGCUCCUGCCUAUCCCAGCUCUGGCAGGUUGGGUGUGAAGGCCUGAGCAGGCAGUGGUCACCAGUAAACAGUGUUAUGGGCUGGGAUGAAUGCCAGCUGACCAGGCCCGUGACCCCCGCCACUGCCGAGCCGCCCCUGCUCCAGCUGGUGGACCCACUCCUGGAGGUGUUCUGAUGGGUGCCAGUGCCCGGGGAAGGCCAGGGGCUGCCCCUCCUGGGGGCUGCUUGCCUAAUUGACCUGCUCCGGGCUGCUCCUCUGAGCAAGAAGCACCUUCCUGGCAGGUGGUGGCCCUGCCCACUGUACUGCAGACAGCUUCUCUGAAAUAUUUCCCCAACAGGAAAGGGCUGACUGCAGGAGUCUGUGAAUCAAGGCCAGGCACUCGGCCGGCGGGUGCUCCGUCAACGCUCUGAGAGAAGGAGCAUGCUCGGGUGCCUGGGCACCGACUAGGGAGCGCUGAGUACUAUUCCACUCUCUGGAUGGACCACGCUGUAUUUAUUCACUCACCUUCUCAGGGACAUCUUGGCCACAUCCAAAUUUGGGAAAUUGUAAGCAAAACUACCAUCAAAUUCCACGAAUGGGUUUUUUGGCAGAUAUGAAUUUUCAACUAAUUUGGUGAUUGGGGCUGAAUGGAACUGCACUGGGCACUGCGUGUGACAUCCUUGCUGUUCCUGCGAAGGCCCUGUUCUCAAGGAAGCUCCUGAGCUAAGGCGAGCACGAGUGUCUGGGGAACAUGUGGGCCUGGAAUCAUGUGGAUGCCUGUUUGGAACCCAGCCUGUGCCCGGUGCUUCCACACGUGGACACUUGUCUUGCCAAGACUCAACAAGCUGGCAUCGUUGUCAUACUUGCCCAGAGUCACCCAGUUAUUGACUGUGGAGGACCAGAUUCCAGCCCACGUCUGUGUGGCCCCUUGAGCCUGUGUUGCACGCGGUGCCACCCACAAGUGAGGGCAGUCCUGUUUGUUCCACUGGCUUUGGGACCCCGGGCAAGGAAGCCCCUCCUUGGGCACUAUGGCUGACAGUUGCUCCCAGGGAUACUGGCUGGGACUUGAUCUUGGGGCCUACAGGGACCUCAAGAGCUGGUGUAGGGACCCAAUGACUCACCCUAACAGGGUCUGCAGGGCUACACCCAGGCCAUGCCCCCCCCCCCCCCCCCCAAUUCUACUCCUUGGUGUUACUGAACCCAGGAAAGCCAGCACUUCUACUCACGAGGUCACAUGCAAGGUCAGUGCCGAAGUCUGGCCCACCCAUCGCGGGGUGGGGCCCCAGUAGGGCUGCUCUGGGGACGCCGUGGCUACCCCGCUGAGGCCCGAGUGACUUGCCCAGGGCAGUGGGUCAGCCCUGUGCUGACUCUCCCCACCCCGUUGGCUGAUGGAGUUGGCUAAGCAAACAGCGGCCCCAGAGAACCCUCUGGAGUUCGGAAAUUCCGAUAGCAUUUCUGUAAAGUGUCAUAGCUGAUGCAGCAGGUGCCUCUGAUGGUUUCAGGGGGAGGAGAAAGUAAUUUGGAGCAGAGAAAUAGCUAUUGAUUGAGGCCAGAAGUUACCACCACCAGCCAUCUCCGGGUCCCUGGCUCAGUCUCCUGCUGCAACACCCCCAUCCAAGGGUGUUCCCAACACAGGCACGGCUGUGAGGUCGGCACAUGCCGUGCCAGCCCCACUUCUUAGGCGAGGAAUCCAAGGCCCGGUGGGCUCUGCUCUCCCCGCACCUACCUCUCGGGUCCUCUUGCGCCAGAGACGUGUUGACCCGAUGCACCCGGCAGGUCUCGGAAGUUUGACACUUGAACUGGAAAGGCUGGCGUCCGUCUGUGUGCACGGACAGCAGGCAGUGGGCAGCACAGCAGCCCAGUCUCUUCCCGUAAUGUUCUCCACAUAUGCAAACCACAGGUGGGUCCAGGGUGGGGGGUGGCAUGGAAGCCUCAGCAGGUUCUCUGCGGGUGGGGGGUGUGGGGAGCCCCAGUUUCUGCUCUGCACAAGUUCAAAUUUGCAUGAUGAGCUGAAAUAUCUUCAUCAAGAGCAAAGGCCGUGUUCUUGGCCCAUGAGGGGGUCUCUCAGGGUCUGUGCUGCCCUGGCCGUGGGUGGGGAGGGGCAAGGGGCGCUGGGCUGGGGGCAGCGAGGAAGGGUGUGUCAGGUCCCCCUGCUGCCUCUGCAUUGGCUCCUUUAAACAAGCAUGACCCAGAGGCAGGAGGCACCACAGCCCACACGGGACACUCAGGAGGGCAAUUGCAGCUGGGAGUGCAGUAGGGAGGCACUGGGGCGGGGGGGGGGGUGGCACCCAGGACUAGGAGGUGCUUGUUUCAGGGCCCUGGCAGAAGGGAGCUGCUGUGGGGGCAUCACCUUGACCCUGGCCUCCUCCGGGCAGGAUGGGGGUCCCUAUAGGCUCAUGGUGAUGCCAGGGUGUCCACCCAGAUUUCCUCUCUGGGCCCCAGCACCCACCCCCCCCAGCUGCGGGCAACACCUGCUGACACUCCUGGUCCAAGGUCACUACCCUCUUGGGUCGGGGGGAUGGCAGUCUGUGCCAAUGAUGCACGGGGUACAGAGGCCUGUCCGCCUUGCCUCAAUUCGGGGUGAGUCUGGGGGGGCCUAGCUCCAGAGACUGCCCUGGGCCUGUGUGGUUGGCUGCAGGCCAGCUCAGCCCUCUGCCUGCCCUGCCUCCCCUAGCUCCUAGCAGGUGAGCCUCCAAGGACCUGCUCCCCCAGGAGCCUGCUUCUUGGGAAACCAAGAGGGGACAGGCCCUCCGCCAAUGGGCAGGCUCCACUUGUCCUCUCCUCCCCAGAGGGCGCAGGCCCAGCUGGGAGCCUCUGCCUGUCACCCAGGAGCUUCUGCACACCCCAGGCUGCCCUGGGCUGUGCCCUCGGACUCUGCCUCCCUGCUCUAUCAGACUGUCAGAGGAAUCCCCUUCCCUGCCUCGCCGGGGGACAUCUGCAGGGGUCUGGAAGCCUGUGGCCCAGGGUGGAAGUCCCAUACUCAGCCAUCCGGGACCAUUUGCCACAUGCCUGGGAAGGCAGGGUGGCUGGUGUGCGGGGCACAGCUCUGCAGAUGACACCUUCCCGGGUCUCAGUGCCCCCAUCUAUAAAGGAGGGACGCCUGACUGGUGCAGGGGUAAAGGCAAAGGUCCCCCUGAGCAAUCAGUAAGUGCUCAGUUAACGUCAAUGAUGUUGCUCUACUUGCUGCUGUCGCUGGCCCUCAGUGUAGUCUGCGUUGCCAUCAGGAUGGAGCACCCCGGCCUCAUCCCCCUGCCCGACCCGGGGCUGCUGUCUAGGUGGCAGGUCCUGACUCUGUCCCUUGCAGUCUCCUUGGCAGGGCCAUAGAGGGGAGGUGGGCCUGGGGCUCGGGCUGGCGAGGAGGGUGCCCCAGCUCAGGCCGGGCCCCGGGUGUUGAACGGGGCUCUGUGCCUGCUCCCAGUGCUUCGCGCUCCUCGGGAGGAAGCAGAUGGGGCUGUCAGCUUUGCUUAUGCCCAGCCUUCCCAAAACCAGCCAAGCGUGCCCCGGAACAGGGGAGCGGCUCCUCAGAGCAGCUGGUGGGGCUCCAGGCUGGCAUCUCUUGGGGCCCAGUGAUGCUGAUUAGCAGGAAAUAAUGUGCAGGCAGAGGGAGCGGGCCCAGCGAGGACCUGCUGGCCCGGGGCCCAGAGCUGUCAUCCGGGCCGGUGUGCCCAGGAGGCCGGGGGGGUGCGCAGCCGGCUUCCCUCACCCACAGCUGGCCCCUUCCAUCAGCGUCUGCCUCGGGCCCGCUGGGGCUCAGCCCCAGACCUGGGAUUCCAGGAGGGAUUUAUCACUUACAUUUUGUCCAUGACGGAGGCCCCGAGAGGCAGGCCUCGCCGGGGGCCCCACGCCAAGUGUGUUCUGCUCAGCUCUGCUCACCCGGAGCUCACUUUGUGUGCUCAAAACAAAGCCACGUUUCUGUGCGCUCCGGCACUUACCUGUCUUCCCCUCCUGUCUCCUGCAAAAUGUAACUCACUCCAGUUUGAUGUACCGGUCACACAGGUCAUGACACAAAAACCAGAGAAUCCUCAGAAUUGGAAAAAAAAAAGAGGAAGGAAUCCUCCCGAAUCUCUUGUCUGGAAGGGGACCUUGUGUAUGAUGUGGUGACCUAGCUUCCAUGCACGUGAGGCAGGUGACUUUAUGGCACCCCCACGUGCUGUUUGGUACUCGCUGAUAUCACAGCAGUUUAUCAGGAGCCCCACACCCGCUCCACAGGAGCGUCUCCACCACAUGGCUCGGCCUGAGCAGCGUUCCGGGAGUGCAUACGUGUGUGCCCACAUGUGUUCGAACCUCUCUCCUUCGACAUUUAAAGUGGUUUUUAAAGCAUUAAACAGCUGUGUGCACAGCCUUAAUUAUUUCCUUGUGAACAAUUCCUAGAAGUGAAAUUGCUAGGUCAGAGAGGGUACACAUAUGUGUGUGUUUUCUGGAAUAAAGUGUUAUUGUAUGGGG